rnacentral:rRNA from 1 species
CCUACGGGAGGCUGCAGUGGGGAAUAUUGGACAAUGGGCGAAAGCCUGAUCCAGCCAUGCCGCGUGUGUGAAGAAGGCCUUCGGGUUGUAAAGCACUUUCAGUGGGGAAGAAAGCCUUGGGGCUAAUACCCUCGAGGAAGGACAUCACCCACAGAAGAAGCACCGGCUAACUCCGUGCCAGCAGCCGCGGUAAUACGGAGGGUGCGAGCGUUAAUCGGAAUUACUGGGCGUAAAGCGCGCGUAGGCGGUCUGAUAAGCCGGUUGUGAAAGCCCCGGGCUCAACCUGGGAACGGCAUCCGUAACUGUCAGGCUAGAGUGCAGGAGAGGAAGGUAGAAUUCCCGGUGUAGCGGUGAAAUGCGUAGAGAUCGGGAGGAAUACCAGUGGCGAAGGCGGCCUUCUGGACUGACACUGACGCUGAGGUGCGAAAGCGUGGGUAGCAAACAGGAUUAGAUACCCCAGUAGUC